AUUACGACAUUAUUCGAAAUGGAUAUUCCUAUUGGAAUAAUUCAAUUAUUUCUUAGAUUUCUAUUGUAUUUUCUAAAAAAAAACAAAAUAAUUCCGAAAAAUGUUUUAUAAUACAAAUGAUAUAAAUAAAUAACGCUCGAUAUGUGCACCGCAAAACAAUUCAAAAAUCAAGUAUACAAGCAAGUAUACAUCAAGUAUACAAGAUAUUUUAUUAAAAUCUUAAAAUUACUUUAACAUACCAUUAAUAUGAAUCUAAACAAUAGAGUACUACCAUAUUAUUAGAUAGACGCCAAACACAGCAUCCCAUUUACGUAAUUGCAGAUGAUUUUCCAAUACGAGUAUGAAGGCAUACUUGUAUAUACUAUCAAAAAAUAAAAGAAUCGCGGGGCGAAUGUAACACUCCCGCGUAAAAAAGAAAGGAGAUUUUCACGGAAAAACGUCAAAUCUCUGUUUUUUUUUCAACGAGGGAAGGAUGUUAUGAUCCAAAUAGGUCAUAUCCAAAAUCUACGUCUGCGGAUUUUCUGCAGACUAGCAGUUAAAUCAUAACAAAUCAAGUCACCUAUUUUUAAUUACAAAACAGAUGACAUACUUUAAUUUAAUGCAACCACGCAUUAAUUCUCAAGCACCUCGGGGCUUACGCUUUUAUGUUUAUAAAUUAGGCCGAAUUAAUGCGUGUUUACAUUAAAUUAAAGUAUGUCACCUAUUUUGUAAUCAAAAGUAGGUGACCGUUCCGGAAAGUUAAGUGGAAGCAUGAUUACUGAGAAUCUCCACUACUGCGAGAUAUUUAAGACAUGCAAUAUUGUAACACACUUAGAAUUCGUAAGCUACAAUAAAACUUCUUGACCAUGAA